CUGAGAGGGAAAGAAUGCCUUUUAAUUUUUUGGUAAUGAGUUGAUAACAGGAAAAGGAAAGUUAAGACAUCUAUCAAUUUCUCUGUAUCUCCAGAAUGGAAUCCUCUUUUCAUAGAGUAAGUGAGGAAAAUUGUGAGUGGGCCAAGUUAGAGAAGAACCUUGAUUACCAGAGUAUAGACAACUUUGAUGGCCUCAAUAAGGGUAUCUGGACUCUUUCCUAAAAAGAAUGGUGCAUUUUGAAAGGGAUUGAUACAAUAAAGUCAGUGUUCAGGUGUUUGCACCUUGUAUUGUUGAGGAUGAAUUAGAGGAGAGAGAGUAUGGAGGAUUAUAGUAAGCCUUGGAAAAAGAGUAGUAAUAUGAUUAGAAGGAAAUUCAGUGAUGGAUGGAAUACUCUUAUUACCUACUCUGUCAAAAGCACAGGGUGAAUAAGGCUCAUAAGGUCCCUAUCAUCAUGGAACUUCUUUCUAGGAAGAUAAAUAAAUGCUAAACCAACCAACAAAAAUAAUUCAAAUAAGCAAGUAAGGCUUUCAGAUGCUGAUACAUGCUCCAAAGAAAAUAAAACAAGAUGAUGGAAACCAAGGUGACAAAGGGGUGAGUAAGGCUUUCUACUUUCUAUUGGUCAUCAAAGAUCUUUCUGAGAAGAUAACCUUGGAGCUGUAAGCUGCCUUCCUCCCUUCCCAUCAUGUAUGCACUCCUAUGCACAAAUCCAAGCCCAUUAGCAUCCUCUACCAGAACACUUAGCACACUAAGUUGUGAAGAUGCAUCAGCUUGUGUAUAUACUCCGUCGUCGUCGUGCUAUUAUGACAGUGAGGGUUUGUCUUAUCUUUAUAACACUAGCAGUUAGCACAGUACUUGGCCCAUUACAGAUAUCUAGUAAAGGUUUGGUGAGUGAAUAAAUGAGUAAAUCAAAUCACCAAGAUUGGGUGACUGGGUAAAGGACAGAUCUUAGGAAAACUGCAGUAGUUGGAGAUGGGAACAGAAAGAAGUGGGGCCAGGAAGGGGAGUUGGAUGCUUAUCUUGUGACAUCCCUGCCUAGUUAGCACAUUAUUCUCUGCACAUCAUUUUCUUUAUUUGUCUAGAGCUAUAGUUUUCAGUAUGAUAGCCACUAGUUACAUGUUGGCUAUUGAACAUUUGAAAUAUGAUGAGUCCUAGUUGAGAUAUGCUGUAAGCAUAAAACAUACCAGAUUGCAAAGACUUAGCUUAGAUAUAUUUUUUCUCAUCAUCUUGUGGUAACUGUGUUAAAAGAUACUUUAGGUAUCUUGGAUUAGAUAAAUAUAUUUAAGUUAAUGUCACUGUUUAUUUUUACUUUUUAAAUGUGGUUACUAGAAAAUUUAAAGUUCAGAGUUGGCUCACUUUAUAUUCCUAUUGUGUAUAUAUCCUAUACUAGAUAGAUGAGUUUGAAUUAGUUGGUCAGUUCUGAAGUGAGUGGUAGAAAGAAGUGAUGGUUGUUAUUUUAUUUCCUUCUCAACAGUAUAAAAAUCCCAACAGAUGUUAAAAAAUGAGGACCAGACAUAAGGGGUGUCACAUCGAUUUUACAGCCAAGGAGAUAAGACCCAGUGUAAAACAUAUUUGGGAAACACAGGUUAAACUUUAAAAUUCAUCGGUAAAUCCUCUUUCCUUUAUUGGGAAAUAAUAGCUUUAGGUUUUGGGGGGAAACCCUCAUAAUGUUUAUACUAAAAAGUCCCUUUUCUAAUUUCAUUUGUUUUAUUCCGGGCUCUUUGAUAGUUCUGCCAGAUGAUAACUGUAUGACUUAAAUGUGUAUGUUUAAAUCAUGGUAAAUCAUGGAAUACAAUCCCAGAGACAAAGUCAGUGAUGCUCCAGUAGCUCAUCUUGUCCUCACCUCGCGUAAGUGAUAGCGAUAUAAAGAUGCCUGAAAAGAAGAGCAGAUGUUAGACAUGCUACUUUUAUCCUUCCAGUAACAUUUUUAAGAUUGAGCUCACAGCGCCUGGAUGUUAAAAUUCUUUCGCAGAUCCCAGAUUAGGAAUGCUCCAUGUUGCUUUAAUCCAUUCCAUUGCAAUGGCUUUAUUAGAUGAAACACCCUGCUGAACAUCUGACGAACAGUGGGAUUAUCACAUUUCCCUCUGAAAAUCCAGUAAAGACAAAAUAAAUGGUUAACAAAACAGAGCAAAUUCAGUUUGCAGGUGUUCAUAGGCAAUGCAACCUCUGAUUGAAUGAGUGUCUCUAUGUAUUCCUCCUCUCUUGUGAAAUGCCUUUUUAAAAGGCCAGAGAAAUUCCUGAGGAAAAAGAAACCAUAGGGCAAAAGUCGCUUCCCUCUCCUUUUGAUGGGUUGCUAAUUGCAUUGUGUUGACUACAGAGCCGGUUCGGAAAUCUGGAAACUUUGUUUUGUUAAGCUUUACUUUGACUACACCCUGGGUAUGCCAAUAACAAUUCUUUAUCAUGUGCAACUCCUAGAGUGUUGACACUUAACGAUUGACUUUUUUUUUCUUGGCAAAUCUAAUUAACUAUUGGAAGAAUUUCAUCAAGCGGCACCCAGUUCCUCUAAACACUUGGUGGGUGGCUCUUGGAGAUGCUCUUCAAAACUCGGUUACUUCCCAGCACUCUAAAAAUUCUCGUUUGCCAGAGCAAUUUGAAUUUUGUUAUUAGUGUCUGCUGGAAAUCAUAAUUCAAUAAAGACGAACUCAUUUAGAAAUGUUUCAUACUGGGCAUGCAUUAGGUAGCUCAGAUAACUCAGGAGCUGCAGAAAACCAUACAAGUGUUCAGGUACAUGCAGGAAAUGGGAGGGGUAGUGAACAAUUUGAAGGAGGCUUUUUGUAUUUUUUUAAGGAGCUGCAGCUAGAUUAGGGAUGCAUAUGUGUCUGUGUGUGUCUGUGUGUGUGUGCAGUCACACAUUUAAGUCAGUGGACACAGCAGUCUUUGCUUUUGGCUAGCAUUUCCUACCAAUCCCCAAAUGCAAGCUGGUGGAUAUAAAAAAAGCCUCUAUCAACAUUUACAAAUAAUAAUGAACAAGGGCCCCUGCGUGUUUCUUUGUGCCAUGCUUGUGUGGCCCCCGCUUCUCCCCUUGAAUGAGACUGUAUCUGUCUCCUGUCCUCUUCUCUCUCUCUCUCUUUCUCUUGUUCCUUUUAUGGAUGUGGGAUUAUUGCUAUAGAAAAUAUGGUCAUGCCAUAGGGAAAUGGACCUCCUGCUCAGCGUGUUUUUUUUCAACCACAUCUGCAGACUGCAGCUACCUUAGCCUUUGCGGGGAAAAAAAAAAAAAAAUCAGGGUCCUUAGGAAACUGUAAUUCUUGGAACAAUGACUUCUUCCUCACAGGACACUGUACUUUCUCACUGCUAUUUAGCACAGUCUGCUAUUAGUCUUCCCUGCCGUUUAUUUGCUGCCCAAGUUCACCAUUGGACAUAUGUAGGAAUAUUUAAACAACAUUGUUUUCCCCAGAGAAGUCUGUUUCAUCUUUGGAACUGCGGGGCUUCCUGCCGACUUCACAGGACCACUCAUACACCUCCCUCCUUUUCCCUGUGUGCUGCUGCUCUGUGCCCCCCCCCCCCGCCCCCGCGACAGGUCCCUUUUCUUUAUGAUGAGGUCUCUCACACUGUUUUUAUUUGCCUCCCAAACUGGAUUCAGAAAAUACCACCCUUUGCCCACUUCCCCGCUUCCUGUCUAUAUUCCAAACCUCUUCAUCUUUGGCAAAAUUUCAGCAGAGUUGAACUUCCAAUUUCUCCUCCUUUUUUUCUUCUUUCUUUCUUUUUUUUAAACUAUUUGAGUACAUACUGUCCUUUCAUGAGUGGUAAUGCUCUCAAAUGUGAUGCCUGGAGAGAUGAGGGAGCCAUUUGUCUAAAAUUUGGAAAAAAUAAAAAUACAUGUAUUCUAUUUUGGUACCUUUCCAUCAUUGGUCCUCUAAACAUUAUUAGAUACUUGAAACAUAAGGAGGGCGUUCCAUCUUGAUUUGAUAAAUGGAAGUCUGAAGAUAAAGGAUUAACCAUAAUCUAGCUGUCUUUAUCAUUUAGGGAGAGAAAAUUUUGUUUCUUGAACUUCUUCAUGUAUCAGAAGAAAUCAAGCUUGAUGUGGUUUUGUAGCUCAAUUUGACCAAGGUUUUUUUUAAAAAAUGGAUAUCUUCGGGGACUAGCAAGUUCUUUCUCCUUUAAAUUUAAAGGCAAGUAAAACCAAACUGUUGAUUGUCCUUAAUGAUCGUAAGGUAUUUCUUGUAAGGGCUUUCAAAAUAAGGAUUAAACUGAGAAAGAAAUCUGAAGUCAUUACUUUCUGAUUAGUACAGAUGUUCAUGCUAACAUUCAAGAUUCUUGUCAGUUAAUAUUUUUAUGGGGAAUUUCUGGUGCCUUUUCUUUUUAAGAAUAAUGUAGAGAAAGCAGUUGGCAUGUUGACAUUAAGUUGUAUUGGGGAAAGUGGGUCCCUACUCUCCACAUCUGUUCAGUGUUUCUGUUGCCUUUCAUUUUCUAAAGUGUUACAUAUGGAAUACACAUGUCUUUGUGUUCUGGUACCCCAGGAAAAAAAAAAAA
rnacentral:lncRNA from 1 species